ACUUAAAUAGCUUAUGAAGAGCGUAAUUUUGAAGGGAUUAAAGAAGUUUUAAACUUUUAAGUA
rnacentral:tRNA from 1 species